rnacentral:rRNA from 1 species
GACAGAGGUGCCAAGCGUUAGGCGGAAUCACUGGGCUUAAAGCGUGUGUAGGCGGGCGAUCAAGUACCUUGUGAAAUCCCACGGCUUACCCGUGGAACUGCUCGGUAUACUGGUUGUCUUGAGCCAUCUAGGGGCUACCGGAACAAAUGGUGGAGCGGUGAAAUGCGUAGAUAUCAGGAAGAACACCCGUGGCUAAGGCGGCUCUCUAGUACGGUACUGACGCUGAGACGCGAAAGCGUGGGGAGCGAACAGG